rnacentral:rRNA from 1 species
CCUACGGGAGGCAGCAGUGGGGAAUAUUGGGCAAUGGAGGAAACUCUGACCCAGCGACGCCGCGUGCGGGAUGAAGGCCUUCGGGUUGUAAACCGCUUUCAGUAGGGAAGAAGCGAAAGUGACGGUACCUACAGAAGAAGCACCGGCUAACUAUGUGCCAGCAGCCGCGGUAAUACAUAGGGUGCAAGCGUUGUCCGGAAUUAUUGGGCGUAAAGAGCUCGUAGGUGGUUCGUCACGUCGGAUGUGAAAAUCUGGGGCUCAACCCCAGACCUGCAUUCGAUACGGGCGAUCUAGAGUGUGGUAGGGGAGACUGGAAUUCCUGGUGUAGCGGUGGAAUGCGCAGAUAUCAGGAGGAACACCAAUGGCGAAGGCAGGUCUCUGGGCCAUUACUGACACUGAGGAGCGAAAGCGUGGGGAGCGAACAGGAUUAGAUACCCUGGUAGUCCACGCCGUAAACGGUGGGCACUAGUUGUGGGAACCUUCCACGGUUUCUGCGACGCAGCUACGCAUUAAGUAGCCCGCCCGUCGGGAGGUACGAUCGCAAGAAUUAAACUACAAAUAGAAUUAGACGGCGUGAGACGUGCCGAACGGACGACGACGAGGGAGGUAGG